UACGUAGGGAGCAAGCGUUGUCCGGAAUCAUUGGGCGUAAAGCGCGCGUAGGCGGCUCGAUCAGUCUGUUGUGAAAGUCAAAGGCUCAACCUUUGAAUGCCGAUGGAUACUGUCGAGCUAGAGUCCGGAAGAGGCGGGUGGAAUUCCUGGUGUAGCGGUGGAAUGCGCAGAUAUCAGGAGGAACACCAACGGCGAAGGCAGCCCGCUGGGACGGUACUGACGCUAAGGCGCGAAAGCGUGGGGAGCGAGCAGG
rnacentral:rRNA from 1 species